ACGGUCAAAUGAUGCUGAAACACCUGUUCUCGUUUGACCACAGAAGUAAAGCCUUGUAGAGCCUGGUCAUUACUUAGGUGGGAGACUGCUUGGGAAUACCGGUCACCGU